GGGGAAUUGCAGGCUGUACCUGUAAUUACCAUGCCAAGGACUGCGACAGGUGGACUGGAGGGGCUGAGCCUCCCGGGAGCGCUGGGGAAUGACGUUAGGAGGAUGAGCUGCUGAACCCAGGAACAGUCGGGAUGAGAGAGUCAAGAGAACUGGGAAGCUUUAAGAGCUUGGAUGAAGGCACCUGAGGGGCUGGAGGGAGAUGGAGUCAAGAAGGGCUCCUGUUCAUUUUUGUUUUCUGUUUUGACAAAAGCGUCUGUGUGAACAGAGAGCGCGUGGCCCUGGGAGGGGCCCAUCCAGACCUGGGCCCCUGAGACCCCCUCCCCAUACUAUUAAUCUCUAUGUCUUUGUUUUUGAAGGACAUUGUCCCCCCAGGCCUAGAAGCCACUUAAUUCAUUAGUUCUUCAUCAUUUAUGCCCUAUUUCAUUAUGUCAUAAUCUUUACAGUUGUUCAUUUGCAUUUCAUUUCUUGCAGUGACAAAAAAAAAACAUUACCCAUGAAAAAUAUUAUUGUUGUAAAUAUUACUACAAGUCACAAAUGAUCAUGGUCCAGACCCGGUCUCACACAGCAGCUGCUCCCUCUGUCUGGGGCUGGGAGGAUGGGGUACUGCCCAAAACAUGAGCCCUACCUCAGCCCCGAGGCCUGAACAAGGCAGAACCGGCCCCAAGCCUUGAGGUAAUAUUAUAGGAGGCAGAAAAACUGCAUUUGAGGACAGGCAAGAUGCAUUCCUGGGCCAAGUGUCCCUCCUGACACAGACCCCAUGCUGCCUGCGCCUGAGGCUGAAGAGCGUGGCUGACUGCCUCCCCACCCCGAGGACUGGGGCGCCCAUGCCCUAGGGGACAGAGGAGAGAGGCCAAGACGGUGUCCUCCCCAGGAGAGCCAGGGAGACACGUGAGGUGGCCCUGGGAGGGAAGAAGAGGGUGUGAAGUGGGGGAGCUGCCCCACGUGUUGCAGCCCCAAGCUCUCCGGUUCCUUUUCUACUGGCCCAGAAGGGGACUCUUGUUCUGUGUCCUUUUCAGGAAAAUUGCACGGCAAAAAGUCACUUUUCUGCCAUGAAGACCAGAGAUGCCCAAUGCUCCUGGCCCUGAGUGAGCCUCCUCAAUGCCUAGAAGUGGCAGGAAACGCCUAAGAAGCCCUGGAGCCGGUGGGGGUGGCCGAGUCAGGGCCCUGCCCGCUGGGGCCCAGUGCCCUGCUGGGAGGUGAAGCUGGAAAGUCAUUGCAGCAGAGAUGAGAGAGCAGACCAGUGGCUCACAGCUGGGUCAGACAUGCCCUGAGGGAUUCCUUAUGGCAGCGCUGGUCCCCAGAGGAACCCCAGAUUCCUUGGCUUCCCCUCGUUCCCUAGUCACUACCAGUGUUCUCCAGAGAAACAGAACCAACAGGAUGCAUGCAGCUACAAAGAAGGAGAUUUAUUAUAAGGAAUUGUCUCAUCUGAUUAUGGAGGCUGAGAAGUCCCGCGAUUUGCCGUUGACAAGCUGCAGACCCAGGAGAGCUGAGAGGAGAGCCCCAGGCUGAAGCCAGCAGGCUCGAGCCCCCGGAGGACAAGGAUAUCAUACAGCAGCAGCAUUAUAAAAAGAGAAUGUAUCCCUGCCAAAGGCUGCUUCUCGGCACUGCCUCAGAGUCCGGGUUGAGCUCCAGGUGUCCUUUGUGAAAGGCCAUCCUGGAUGUACAUCCUCUCUUGGACCUCUCUUGGAGUCUCCAAGAUGUGCCUGGAACACCUCAGAAACAGGAAACUGGAAAUGGAGUCUUCUUACACCCUGCUGGUCACAUAGGCAUAUUUCCUGUGGCUCUACUGGCCUAGUGGUAGAACCUUUGUGUGUGGGGGUCUCAUUGAGACAAGGUGUUUAUCAUUGAUCUUG